rnacentral:rRNA from 1 species
GCGCGCGUAGGUGGCUUGAUAAGCCGGUUGUGAAAGCCCCGGGCUCAACCUGGGAACGGCAUCCGGAACUGUCAGGCUAGAGUGCAGGAGAGGAAGGUAGAAUUCCCGGUGUAGCGGUGAAAUGCGUAGAGAUCGGGAGGAAUACCAGUGGCGAAGGCGGCCUUCUGGACUGACACUGACACUGAGGUGCGAAAGCGUGGGUAGCAAACAGGAUUAGAUACCCUGGUAGUCCACGCCGUAAACGAUGUCGACCAGCCGUUGGGUGCCUAGAGCACUUUGUGGCGAAGUUAACGCGAUAAGUCGACCGCCUGGGGAGUACGGCCGCAAGGUUAAAACUCAAAUGAAUUGACGGGGGCCCGCACAAGCGGUGGAGCAUGUGGUUUAAUUCGAUGCAACGCGAAGAACCUUACCUACCCUUGACAUCUACAGAAGCCGGAAGAGAUUCUGGUGUGCCUUCGGGAACUGUAAGACAGGUGCUGCAUGGCUGUCGUCAGCUCGUGUUGUGAAAUGUUGGGUUAAGUCCCGUAACGAGCGCAACCCUUGUCCUUAUUUGCCAGCGAGUAAUGUCGGGAACUCUAAGGAGACUGCCGGUGACAAACCGGAGGAAGGUGGGGACGACGUCAAGUCAUCAUGGCCCUUACGGGUAGGGCUACACACGUGCUACAAUGGCCGGUACAAAGGGCUGCGAGCUUGCGAGAGUCAGCGAAUCCCUUAAAGCCGGUCUCAGUCCGGAUCGGAGUCUGCAACUCGACUCCGUGAAGUCGGAAUCGCUAGUAAUCGUGAAUCAGAAUGUCACGGUGAAUACGUUCCCGGGCCUUGUACACACCGCCCGUCACACCAUGGGAGUGGACUGCACCAGAAGUGGUUAGCCUAACGCAAGAGGGCGUCA